CACACACACACAGAGGUGUUCCAUCACACAGAGGUGUUCCACACACACACAGAGGUGUUGCACACACACACAGAGGUGUUGCACACACACACAGAGGUGUUCCAUCACACAGAGGUGUUCCAUCACACAGAGGUGUUCUACACACAAACUGAGAUGUUCCAUCACACUGAGAUGUUCCAUCACACAGAGGUGUUCCAUCACACAGAGGUGUUCCAUCACACACAGAGGUGUUCCAUCACACAGAGGUGUUCCAUCACACAGAGGUGUUCCACACACACACAGAGGUGUUCCAUCACACAGAGGUGUUCCACACACACACAGAGGUGUUGCACACACACACAGAGGUGUUGCACACACACACAGAGGUGUUCCAUCACACAGAGGUGUUCCAUCACACACAGAGGUGUUCCAUCACACAGAGGUGUUCCACACACACACAGAGGUGUUGCACACACACACAGAGGUGUUGCACACACACACAGAGGUGUUCCAUCACACAGAGGUGUUCCACACACACACACAGAUGUUCCAUCACACAGAGGUGUUCCAUCACACUGAGAUGUUCCAUCACCAGGCUCCCUGUUGGUGCUCCCAGGGGAUGACUGUGGGGUUGAGCUGGCACUUUGUGCUGUGUGGCUGCACUUGCAGGUGGCAUUUGCACUUUCCCAGUUGCUGGCUGCUGGUGUGGAGCUGGAGCUGGGCUGCAGGGGUGAAUCUCUGAGAGACCAGGAAUAGACACCACUGGGAAAACACAGCUGCACCUGAGCCUGAGGAACUGCUCAAAGGGGCCAUCAGACAUCCCCCAGCUGCCUUGCUGGGCUGUGGCAGGCUGACACCACAGAAGAGUUGACACCAGUGGUCAUCACCACCCUCCUCUCACAUCACCUGAUCCAGUCAGCCUGAGAACCGCUUGCUGCUCUUUGUGCAUCAUCUCCCAAACCUGUCUGAACUCUCUUUGGAGGGGCUGAGCACCUGCCAGAGACCUUCAAGAACAGCAGACACGAGCUCUCCACCCCCAGAGGCAGGAGGCCUUUGGCCUUGGCAGCACCCAGGUACAAAGGGAAAAGCACAAACCUGAAACCCAACGUGGAAAACGGAGCAGGUUGCUGUCCUUGCAGCACUGAGCCUCCAGAGCACGGAUUAAAGGCACUCACCCUCCAACGCACACAGCUCCUCCAAGAACUAAAGACAUAAUGAGUGCCCUCACAACCUAUUAGCAGGCUUUAUAUUCUGAACAAGAGAAAACCGGGGCCCAGCCCGGAAAGGUCAGGAAGUUUUUUUCAGCUCAAACUAGACCUAAUCAAGUUUUUCCCAACAGCAAAUGCAGGAAAACACUGAUUUGUAAGGGGAGAAAUUUAA